AACGAGACCUUAACCUGCUAACUAGCCCGUAUUGCUUUGGCAGUACGCUGGCUUCUUAGAGGGACUAUCGGCUCAAGCCGAUGGAAGUUUGAGGCAAUAACAGGUUAACCUAUUCACAGGCCUGUAACAGUGGACCUCUCGAAAUAUUCUGCUAGUCCAACGACUCACCUCCGUAGGGGAAGCCCCCUAAUGUCGGGCGGAGGAGAUCUCUAGAUCUAAUCGUGGGCGACACUACCUGGUACAGGGGACGC
rnacentral:rRNA from 1 species